rnacentral:lncRNA from 1 species
AUGGGCCGUGAGGCUCGGCAGAAGGACGAGCGCACGGUGAGCCGGACCGCCGUGAACAUCAACCUCCUGAGCCCAGUCGCCUGGGUCCAACGAGAUCAAAGACGAUGCUGGAAUCUGGAUGACCCCCACAUCAUCAAGAUGCUGCUUCGUUCUCUGUACGCCCAUCCCUAUGGGACCAAAGAACUGGAGAACUUGUCCAAUAAUCUUAGAGAAUGUGCGGAUGUGGCCAAGAAAGUGAUGCUUUUCUGCUACAGCAAGCUGUCCGUGCACUACAAGAGCUGCCUGCAGUACCUGACCACGUUCGAAGAGGAAGAAAGCGUCAGCAGGACAUGCUUGGUCAGGCGAUGGCUCGUCGAAGGCCUAGUGUCCAAGGACCAACAUCAUGGGCUAGAUGAAGAUGAUACUAGCAUGGAAGAGGCCGGUCAGCGCUGCUUCGAUGAGCUCCUGUUUCGAGGCUUCCUUUCUCCUGCUCCUGGGCAUCAUUUCCCCAGGUCUGGCGGCCUAAAACUCAAGUGCUACGUGUUGGUAACUUUUUUGACAAGUUGACAAGCACGAU